GACCCANAUGGGAUUAGCUAGUAGGUGGGGUAACGGCUCACCUAGGCGACGAUCCCUAGCUGGUCUGAGAGGAUGACCAGCCACACUGGAACUGAGACACGGUCCAGACUCCUACGGGAGGCAGCAUG
rnacentral:rRNA from 1 species